GAGUGCCAAAGCCUCAUUAGGCCGAAGGUAAAGCCAAUAGUGGAUUGCAUGGUAUGUUUCAGAAGAUGCCAUUAAUGUGAAAAUUGCUUUUCAAUUUCCUUUCCAUGAAUACUCUUACAAUUCUGAACAAAUUGAAAAUAUAUUUUUAACUGAGUCCUCCAUCGAUAUAAAUGUUGAACAAGGUAACACACACAAGAAAACAUGAGGAGAUUACAUAGCUUUUUUCCCCUGUGCUACACUAGAAAAUGCCAAAUAAUUUUACAGUAUUAAUAGUUUAUGUGGAUAAGAGGUUAAGGAGUUGGUAUUAGUACUUGUGUCAUGAAGAAUGAUGUCAAAUGUAAAAAUUGUACAUGUACAUACACG
rnacentral:misc_RNA from 1 species